GCGUUGGUGGUAUAAAGGUGAGCAUAGCCGCCUUCCAAGCAGUUGACCUGGGUUCCAGUCCUGGCCAGCGCA
rnacentral:tRNA from 1 species